GAAACGACUGCUAAGACUGGAUAGGAGACAAGAAGGCAUCUUCUUGUUUUUAAAAGACCUAGCAAUAGGUAUGCUUAGGUAGGAGCUUGCGUCACAUUAGUUAGUUGGUGGGGUAAAGGCCUACCAAGACUAUGAUGUGUAGCCGGGCUGAGAGGUUGAACGGCCACAUUGGGACUGAGACACGGCCCAAACUCCUACGGGAGGCAGCAGUAGGGAAUUUUCGGCAAUGGAGGAAACUCUGACCGAGCAACGCCGCGUGAACGAUGAAGUAUUUCGGUACGUAAAGUUCUUUUAUUAGGGAAGAAUAAAUGAUGGAAAAAUCAUUCUGACGGUACCUAAUGAAUAAGCCCCGGCUGACUAUGUGCCAGCAGCCGCGGUAAUACAUAGGGGGCAAGCGUUAUCCGGAAUUAUUGGGCGUAAAGGGUGCGUAGGCGGUUAAAUAAGUUUGUGGUCUAAGUGCAAUGCUCAACAUUGUGAUGCUAUAAAAACUGUUUAGCUAGAGUAAGAUAGAGGCAAGUGGAAUUCCAUGUGUAGUGGUAAAAUGCGUAAAUAUAUGGAGGAACACCAGUAGCGAAGGCGGCUUGCUGGGUCUUUACUGACGCUGAGGCACGAAAGCGUGGGGAGCAAACAGGAUUAGAUACCCUGGUAGUCCACGCCGUAAACGAUGAGUACUAAACGUUGGGUAAAACCAGUGUUGAAGUUAACACAUUAAGUACUCCGCCUGAGUAGUACGUACGCAAGUAUGAAACUUAAAGGAAUUGACGGGACUCCGCACAAGCGGUGGAUCAUGUUGUUUAAUUCGAAGGUACCCGAAAAACCUCACCAGGUCUUGACAUGCUUCUGCAAAGCUGUAGAAACACAGUGGAGGUUAUCAGUUGCACAGGUGGUGCAUGGUUGUCGUCAGCUCGUGUCGUGAGAUGUUGGGUUAAGUCCCGCAACGAGCGCAACCCUUAUUGUUAGUUACCAGCACGUAAUGGUGGGGACUUUAGCAAGACUGCCAGUGAUAAAUUGGAGGAAGGUGGGGACGACGUCAAAUCAUCAUGCCCCUUAUGACCUGGGCUACAAACGUGAUACAAUGGCUGUUACAAAGGGUAGCUGAAGCGCAAGUUUUUGGCGAAUCUCAAAAAAACAGUCUCAGUUCGGAUUGAAGUCUGCAACUCGACUUCAUGAAGUUGGAAUCGCUAGUAAUCGCGAAUCAGCAUGUCGCGGUGAAUACGUUCGCGGGGUUUGUACACACCGCCCGUCA
rnacentral:rRNA from 1 species